rnacentral:lncRNA from 7 species
GCCAGUUAAAGCAUACGAAUGUGUAGACAAUGAAGUUCACACUAGAUGGAUAAUGAAGUUAGGGAAAAAAUGUGAAUUGGAAGUCUACAGACAACUUGUGAACUGAGUCUUCUACUGGAUAACUACAAGAGCACCUGCUUUCAAAUGAGGCUCUGCAAAUUUCACUAAGGUGCCAAUUGUAUGAAGACAGUCCAAAGCUCCUAAGGGACAUUUGACUAGUAUGACUCAGGUCCUUGUUUAAAUGUGGCUCUCUGCCUCAUAAGCCAUUUUCAUCAUGUUUCUGGGCACUUCGUAAGUCUACAAAAAGUUUCUGCUUUUGAUCUCCAUUUGAAGAACUCCUCUGAAUUUUCUUGACAUUCCUCAGAUUUAUGGCAGAGUAUGAGUCACUACUCUCCCUGUCAUCUGUAAAGAUAAGAGAAAAGGGAUAGCUCAAAUUAGUUUCAUUCUUUUUCUAGUGACAUAUUCCUUGGCCUCUGGAAAUUAUACUGAGUUUCCUCAUGAUAAAACAUUGGUAUCCAAAGAGAGCCUCAUUGACACUGAUAAUGAUGUCCUUUGGCACAGUCUAACAUGUUCUGAAUUCGGUGCAAGCUGAAGGCCUAAAUCAAUGGUCUGCUCACUGCAGCAAACAAAGCAUCUUGGCAUUUACAUCGUAACAAGCGAGAGCAGAUCUGUUCAUACGUAUUUUUAUGCUUUCAUCUCCCUAUAGUUGUGCUGUCAUUAUUGUCUCUGCCAUUUCAGGACACAAAUAGAAAGCAAAAGGAAUAAUGUCUAUAUUGUGCAAGAAAAUUUCUGCAGAAGGGAUGUAAAUAAGGAAGAGAGAAGAGGAAAACAUCUGUUUUCAUGCAGGUUACCAAAUCACCUCAGGGAUCUAACAUAUGUAUCCAGAAAAUUAAUAAAAUUUUAUGGAAAGACUGGCAAUUUCUAGGAAGAGUUAUAUAACAGUAGCAACUACUAUAUAUUCUCAAAAAUAGUAAAUAAUAAAUAUACUGUUCCUUACCAACUUUACAGCAAUAAUUGCAUACCAGAUGUAGCUCAUUACUGAUGUGUUUUUAAAGACAUAGAAGUUUCUGAUUUCAGAAAAGGUUCUGUCAAUGCUUGAAAGCACAUAGAUCAGGAAUUGUUCUGGGUGUUUUUUUUUUGUUGUUGUUGUUGUUUGUUUGUUUGUUUCCUUGGAAAUUUCCAGAAAUAAAAUAUAUGAGGUGUUUUAUACUAGUUUUCCUAAGAUGUUUUUACUAGAUAAAAGACUUCUGUCUUUAUUUUUCUUAAAAGAUCUUAGAAUGUUGUAGUUUGUUGGAAAUAUUAAUUAACUAUUUAGGUUAACUCUCCACCUAUGUAAAACACACAUGACAUAAUUCUGGACAGGCAAAAUUAACUUCCUGGGCCUUGGGGAAGCCAGAGAUCAGAACUGACAGUUCUUCCAGUAUCACAUCAGUAAGUUUUCCUAAAACAAGACCAGUGAGAUAACAAAUUCAUUUGUGUUUCAGUGCCCUCUUGAUGCGCACUUUGGAUGUUCACAUGCUAGGCAUGACACUGUGCCACUGUGACCACCAGCAACAAAGCAGCUGAACUGACCUCAGAAGAAAGGCCAUGGGAUUUCUGCUUUCAUAUGUGGAUAUCUUCCCAUGAUUUAUGACACGGAUGGGGUCCAACCAGUUACAAGUUUUGUGGAAACCUGUAGUUGCUAAAUACAUUGAAAUC